rfam:Aedes albopictus isolate Foshan contig73646, whole genome shotgun sequence.
CCUUCGAUAGCUCAGUUGGUAGAGCGGUGGACUGUAGUGUUCGUAUCUCUCAUUCAGUAAUCCAUAGGUCGCUGGUUCAAAUCCGGCUCGAAGGA